GACGAACGCUGGCGGCGUGCUUAACACAUGCAAGUCGAACGAAGUGGCGAACGGGUGAGUAACGCGUAAUCAACUUGCCCUUCAGAGGGGGACAACAGUUGGAAACGACUGCUAAUACCGCAUAUGGAAGGAGGGGAUUGCGUCUGAUUAGCUAGUUGGAGGGGUAACGGCCCACCAAGGCGCUGAUCAGUAGCCCGUCUGGAGGGAUGGACCGCCACAUUGGGACUGGGGCACGGCCCGGACGCCUACGGGGGGCAGCAGUGGGGAAUCUUCCGCAAUGGACGGAAGUCUGACGGAGCAACGCCGCGUGAGUUAUGACGGCCUUCGGGUUGGAAAACUCUGUUAAUCGGGACGCGGUACCUGAAUAGAAAGCCACGGCUAACUACGUGCCAGCCGCCGCGGUAAUAC
rnacentral:rRNA from 1 species